GCAGUUCACUAUAGCACGGUUUCACUAAUUGCUAUGAAUGAUUGUUUUGGAAUUUUGAUAGUAUGAAAUAGCAUUUAAUAAACGCUAUAAUAGAAAAUCAAUAAGCGGGAAGCUAAAAUCGCUUAUUCCGCCAAUAUUUAGCCCAAAAAAUUAGAAAGCCGCGAACACUUAAGCAUUUUUCCUUUUUUCUCAAAGACCUAGACAAAAUCUCUCAGACUCACUCACUAACGAAUCUCGUCCCAGCCUCACACGAACCUCAUCGCUUCUCCUCCUCCAGCUUCCAUUCUCCCGAACAAACUCACCCAAACCCUAACUCCCCUCCAAUGGCCCCUCCUCCGCUGGUGCCACCACCACCAAACCUAAUUGACUCAACCAAAACCCCACAUCUCCGUCUCUCAAUCUCGAUCUAUCACUCACGAUGAAGUUUCAAUUUACCGUGGAGGAGAAUCGCCUUGGGAACGGAGAAGAUGAAUUCAAGUAGAGAGAGGAAUGAUUCGAAGAGUUUAAGAUCGGGAAGUAAAAUGGACAUGGUAAUGGUAGUGAUGGACGAAAUACUUCGAUUUGGUGACUCUUCUUCUUCUUCGUCUUCAUCCUCGUAAAAUGGUAAGUCAUCUCAAUUGGUUACCUUAGGGUCUUAAAUUUGGAAAUUGGAAGCUUAAAAAAAACAAACAGGUUCUCUUAAUUAGGAGAAAUCUGUUAACUGUAAGCUUGAAAUCGAAAAAGAGAACUCUUUAUAUCUAGAGAUGGAGCUCGUGUGUGAAACAUAUCAGUUUUAAGGCGCUUGAGGGUCUGUUGACAGGUCACUGUUCUUGUAACUUAGGCUGAAAAGGUUUGUCUACAUGUUGAUUUGUUUUUGUUCUUUGUCGUUGUGCCCUUAUGAAUUGACUAUGAAGCUUGAUACUUUGAUUGUCAAGUGUUUGUUUAAAUUCCCAAGAGAGCAUUGAUACUUUGAUUUUGGAAUAAAGAUACGUUCUUUCUUAUUUGGUAAUACUUUGUUUAUACUAUGGAAUGCUUCUUCUUCCUCCUUUUCUUACAAGUGCUCUUGUUCAAACACUUAAUUUCUGAAACUUUUUUAAUUGUUUCUCCUCAGUGGCUAUGGAAUAAACAUAACAACUUUGUCCUAGAAGCUUUUAGGGAAAAUCAAAGCCGAGCUGAUAAUCCUUGGAUUCAAUUUUUAUUAUUCACUAUUAGAGAAAAGGAGGAAGAAGACGUGGGAAAGGACAAUUCAACAUGGCUUGAGCUUUUUGAUCACUAGAGUGUGAUAAGUGGGAAGAGAUAGGAAUAACACCAGCCUUAGCACCAAGCUUGAAGCUUUACCAAAGACUUCUAGAUUUGGGAUACAAACUUGGUCUAGAAGAUAUCUUCCCAGAUUUUGGGUCAUACGUUCUUAAUUUUCAGCAAGAACAAGAACAAGUCUUCAACAAUUAAUGAAGCACCAUUUGGAGUUUUGACGCAAGAACCAGAACAGUUGUGUAUCGUUGGAGUGCAAAGUGGUUGUGCGAUUGUGUAGGAAGAAGAAGUAGAGAUCAAUUAUGGAUAAGCUCAUGGAGGCAGUAAGCUUUAGAAAGAAAAUUUGUUUGGCCUAGACAUAGUUAGUUGAUUGUGUUUGGUAGAAUUUGUGAUUGUCGAUAGGGUGCUUCUCUUUGUCCCUUAUUUCAUAAGUUAGUACUCUUGUUGUGGAAGAGUCGUAGUUGUUUUUAUAUAAGAUUUAGUUUGGAUUAGUCUUUUGUAAGACGUGUAAUGUUUUAUUAAGGAUUUUCUAUGAAAUUAAAAUAUAUGUUCAAUAUA